UGAGAUAGAGGCGCAAGUUUCAAGAGUAGAUAAUCGUAGAGUGAACAAACUUUUUGAUGAUUAUUGAAAGGGACCCUUGCCGAAGCACGACUGCGUUGUUCCGUAGUAGUAGCUGGUUUUGCAUUAAAUAAGUGUAAAACUGUCGAAAUAAUCAUUUCGUUGCGCUAUC
rnacentral:ncRNA from 1 species